rnacentral:rRNA from 1 species
CUCUGUGACUCCUACGGGAGGCAGCAGUGGGGAAUAUUGCACAAUGGGGGAAACCCUGAUGCAGCCAUGCCGCGUGUGUGAAGAAGGCCUUCGGGUUGUAAAGCACUUUCAGUAGGGAGGAAGGUAGUGUAGUUAACACCUGCAUUAUUUGACGUUACCUACAGAAGAAGCACCGGCUAACUCCGUGCCAGCAGCCGCGGUAAUACGGAGGGUGCGAGCGUUAAUCGGAAUUACUGGGCGUAAAGCGCAUGCAGGUGGUUUGUUAAGUCAGAUGUGAAAAGCCCGGGGCUCAACCUCGGAAUUGCAUUUGAAACUGGCAGACUAGAGUACUGUAGAGGGGGUAGAAUUUCAGGUGUAGCGGUGAAAUGCGUAGAGAUCUGAAGGAAUACCGGUGGCGAAGGCGGCCCCCUGGACAGAUACUGACACUCAGAUGCGAAAGCGUGGGGAGCAAACAGGAUUAGAUACCCUGGUAG